AACCGGAGUGGCCUCUGAUGAUUCGCCCAUUUGCCAGGGUCUCAAAGAGUUAAAAGGAUGUUGAGAUUUUGGCAGCGAAAGGAGAGGAGUGUUCCACUGACUGACCUCUUUUUGUUUUCAAAUGAAGAGGAGCCAAGAAUAGGACAGCUUGGGAAGCUCAUCCUCGUCUACGGCCAAACGUUGGUUUCUCAUUUCUAGAAGAUGAAAGAUGUGAUGACUCAGGAAAAACUUGCUGCUCGAGAUGUGAGUCUUCAGAUGUUCCUGCCGCCAUAUCUGACAGCUGCUGCCAAGAUUCCCUGGUGGGAUGGACUCUUAUACCUCAACAACCAGAAGCCCAAGUAAACUCUUCUAUAAAUUGAAUGACUCAUGCUUAAAAAAAAAAAC
ensembl:processed_transcript 2210408F21Rik RIKEN cDNA 2210408F21 gene